rnacentral:rRNA from 1 species
UUUGAUCCUGGCUCAGAUUGAACGCUGGCGGCAGGCCUAACACAUGCAAGUCGAGCGGCAGCACGGGAAGCUUGCUUCCUGGUGGCGAGCGGCGGACGGGUGAGUAAUGCAUAGGAAUCUGCCCGGUAGUGGGGGAUAACCUGGGGAAACCCAGGCUAAUACCGCAUACGUCCUACGGGAGAAAGCAGGGGCUCUUCGGACCUUGCGCUAUCGGAUGAGCCUAUGUCGGAUUAGCUGGUUGGUGAGGUAAUGGCUCACCAAGGCGACGAUCCGUAGCUGGUCUGAGAGGAUGAUCAGCCACAUCGGGACUGAGACACGGCCCGAACUCCUACGGGAGGCAGCAGUGGGGAAUAUUGGACAAUGGGCGCAAGCCUGAUCUAGCCAUGCCGCGUGUGUGAAGAAGGCCCUCGGGUUGUAAAGCACUUUCAGUGGGGAAGAAAGCCUGGUGGUUAAUACCCGUCAGGAAGGACAUCACCCACAGAAGAAGCACCGGCUAACUCCGUGCCAGCAGCCGCGGUAAUACGGAGGGUGCGAGCGUUAAUCGGAAUUACUGGGGCGUAAAGCGCGCGUAGGUGGCUUGAUAAGCCGGUUGUGAAAGCCCCGGGCUCAACCUGGGAACGGCAUCCGGAACUGUCAGGCUAGAGUGCAGGAGAGGAAGGUAGAAUUUCCCGGUGUAGCGGUGAAAUGCGUAGAGAUCGGGAGGAAUACCAGUGGCGAAGGCGGCCUUCUGGACUGACACUGAACACUGAGGUGGCGAAAGCGGUGGGUAGCAAACAGGAUUAGAUACCCUGCUAGUCCCACGGCCGUAAACGAUGUCGACUAGCCGUUGGGGUCUUCGGGGAACUUGGUGACGCAGUAACCGCGAAUAGUUCGACCGCCUGGGGGGAAGUACG